AGGUCCAGCCUGCCCAGUGACUUUGUUCAACGGCCGCGGUAUCCUAACCGUGCGAAGGUAGCGUAAUCACUUGUUCUUUAAAUAAGGACUAGUAUGAACGGCAUCACGAGGAUUAUACUGUCUCCUUUUCCCAAUUAGUGAAACUAAUCUCCCCGUGAAGAAGCGGGGGUAACAUUAUAAGACGAGAAGACCCUAUGGAGCUUUAGAUUUAACAACACUUGUUUUCACUAACUUAAAUUUCAGAACUAUUUAUUUACCUAACAAGAUGAUUGUCAAUCUUAGGUUGGGGUGACCGCGGAGCAUAAAGCAACCUCCAUGCUGAAUGACAUAAAUGUCUUAUUCUAGAGCAACCGCUCUAAAAAACAAUAUAUUGACAUCCAUUGACCCAAUUUUUGAUCAACGAACCAAGUUACCCUAGGGAUAACAGCGCAAUCCACUUCAAGAGCUCCUAUCGACAAGUGGGUUUACGACCUCGAUGUUGGAUCAGGGUAUCCCAGUGGUGCAGCCGCUACUAAAGGUUCGUUUGUUCAACGAUUAAAACCCUACGUGAUCUGAGUUUCAGACCGGA
rnacentral:rRNA from 1 species